GAGGAAUAUUGCGCAAUGGACGAAAGUCUGACGCAGCAACGCCGCGUGUGGGAUGAAGGCCCUCUGGGUCGUAAACCACUGUUGGGAGGGAAGAACGUUCGGGGCAAGGCCCUGAAGUGACGGUACCUCCAUAGAAAGCCCCGGCUAACUACGUGCCAGCAGCCGCGGUAAUACGUAGGGGGCAAGCGUUGUCCGGAUUUACUGGGUGUAAAGGGCGUGUAGGCGGAUCGUUAAGUCAGAGGUGAAAUCUCACAGCUCAACUGUGAAAUUGCCUUUGAUACUGGCGGUCUUGAGUACGAAAGAGGAAGAUGGAAUUCCUGGUGUAGCGGUGAAAUGCGUAGAUAUCAGGAGGAACACCGGUGGCGAAGGCGGUCUUCUGGUUCGUAACUGACGCUGAGGCGCGAAAGCAUGGGGAUCAAAC
rnacentral:rRNA from 1 species